GGGUUGUGAGGUUAAGCGACUAAGCGUACACGGUGGAUGCCCUGGCAGUCAGAGGCGAUGAAGGACGUGCUAAUCUGCGAUAAGCGUCGGUAAGGUGAUAUGAACCGUUAUAACCGGCGAUUUCCGAAUGGGGAAACCCAGUGUGAUUCGUCACACUAUCAUUAACUGAAUCCAUAGGUUAAUGAGGCGAACCGGGGGAACUGAAACAUCUAAGUACCCCGAGGAAAAGAAAUCAACCGAGAUUCCCCCAGUAGCGGCGAGCGAACGGGGAGCAGCCCAGAGCCUGAAUCAGUGUGUGUGUUAGUGGAAGCGUCUGGAAAGGCGCGCGAUACAGGGUGACAGCCCCGUACACAAAAAUGCACAUAUUGUGAGCUCGAUGAGUAGGGCGGGACACGUGGUAUCCUGUCUGAAUAUGGGGGGACCAUCCUCCAAGGCUAAAUACUCCUGACUGACCGAUAGUGAACCAGUACCGUGAGGGAAAGGCGAAAAGAACCCCGGCGAGGGGAGUGAAAAAGAACCUGAAACCGUGUACGUACAAGCAGUGGGAGCACGCUUAGGCGUGUGACUGCGUACCUUUUGUAUAAUGGGUCAGCGACUUAUAUUCUGUAGCAAGGUUAACCGAAUAGGGGAGCCGAAGGGAAACCGAGUCUUAACUGGGCGUUAAGUUGCAGGGUAUAGACCCGAAACCCGGUGAUCUAGCCAUGGGCAGGUUGAAGGUUGGGUAACACUAACUGGAGGACCGAACCGACUAAUGUUGAAAAAUUAGCGGAUGACUUGUGGCUGGGGGUGAAAGGCCAAUCAAACCGGGAGAUAGCUGGUUCUCCCCGAAAGCUAUUUAGGUAGCGCCUCGUGAAUUCAUCUCCGGGGGUAGAGCACUGUUUCGGCAAGGGGGUCAUCCCGACUUACCAACCCGAUGCAAACUGCGAAUACCGGAGAAUGUUAUCACGGGAGACACACGGCGGGUGCUAACGUCCGUCGUGAAGAGGGAAACAACCCAGACCGCCAGCUAAGGUCCCAAAGUCAUGGUUAAGUGGGAAACGAUGUGGGAAGGCCCAGACAGCCAGGAUGUUGGCUUAGAAGCAGCCAUCAUUUAAAGAAAGCGUAAUAGCUCACUGGUCGAGUCGGCCUGCGCGGAAGAUGUAACGGGGCUAAACCAUGCACCGAAGCUGCGGCAGCGACGCUUAUGCGUUGUUGGGUAGGGGAGCGUUCUGUAAGCCUGUGAAGGUGUGCUGUGAGGCAUGCUGGAGGUAUCAGAAGUGCGAAUGCUGACAUAAGUAACGAUAAAGCGGGUGAAAAGCCCGCUCGCCGGAAGACCAAGGGUUCCUGUCCAACGUUAAUCGGGGCAGGGUGAGUCGACCCCUAAGGCGAGGCCGAAAGGCGUAGUCGAUGGGAAACAGGUUAAUAUUCCUGUACUUGGUGUUACUGCGAAGGGGGGACGGAGAAGGCUAUGUUGGCCGGGCGACGGUUGUCCCGGUUUAAGCGUGUAGGCUGGUUUUCCAGGCAAAUCCGGAAAAUCAAGGCUGAGGCGUGAUGACGAGGCACUACGGUGCUGAAGCAACAAAUGCCCUGCUUCCAGGAAAAGCCUCUAAGCAUCAGGUAACAUCAAAUCGUACCCCAAACCGACACAGGUGGUCAGGUAGAGAAUACCAAGGCGCUUGAGAGAACUCGGGUGAAGGAACUAGGCAAAAUGGUGCCGUAACUUCGGGAGAAGGCACGCUGAUAUGUAGGUGAAGCGACUUGCUCGUGGAGCUGAAAUCAGUCGAAGAUACCAGCUGGCUGCAACUGUUUAUUAAAAACACAGCACUGUGCAAACACGAAAGUGGACGUAUACGGUGUGACGCCUGCCCGGUGCCGGAAGGUUAAUUGAUGGGGUCAGCGCAAGCGAAGCUCUUGAUCGAAGCCCCGGUAAACGGCGGCCGUAACUAUAACGGUCCUAAGGUAGCGAAAUUCCUUGUCGGGUAAGUUCCGACCUGCACGAAUGGCGUAAUGAUGGCCAGGCUGUCUCCACCCGAGACUCAGUGAAAUUGAACUCGCUGUGAAGAUGCAGUGUACCCGCGGCAAGACGGAAAGACCCCGUGAACCUUUACUAUAGCUUGACACUGAACAUUGAGCCUUGAUGUGUAGGAUAGGUGGGAGGCUUUGAAGUGUGGACGCCAGUCUGCAUGGAGCCGACCUUGAAAUACCACCCUUUAAUGUUUGAUGUUCUAACGUUGACCCGUAAUCCGGGUUGCGGACAGUGUCUGGUGGGUAGUUUGACUGGGGCGGUCUCCUCCUAAAGAGUAACGGAGGAGCACGAAGGUUGGCUAAUCCUGGUCGGACAUCAGGAGGUUAGUGCAAUGGCAUAAGCCAGCUUGACUGCGAGCGUGACGGCGCGAGCAGGUGCGAAAGCAGGUCAUAGUGAUCCGGUGGUUCUGAAUGGAAGGGCCAUCGCUCAACGGAUAAAAGGUACUCCGGGGAUAACAGGCUGAUACCGCCCAAGAGUUCAUAUCGACGGCGGUGUUUGGCACCUCGAUGUCGGCUCAUCACAUCCUGGGGCUGAAGUAGGUCCCAAGGGUAUGGCUGUUCGCCAUUUAAAGUGGUACGCGAGCUGGGUUUAGAACGUCGUGAGACAGUUCGGUCCCUAUCUGCCGUGGGCGCUGGAGAACUGAGGGGGGCUGCUCCUAGUACGAGAGGACCGGAGUGGACGCAUCACUGGUGUUCGGGUUGUCAUGCCAAUGGCACUGCCCGGUAGCUAAAUGCGGAAGAGAUAAGUGCUGAAAGCAUCUAAGCACGAAACUUGCCCCGAGAUGAGUUCUCCCUGACUCCUUGAGAGUCCUGAAGGAACGUUGAAGACGACGACGUUGAUAGGCCGGGUGUGUAAGCGCAGCGAUGCGUUGAGCUAACCGGUACUAAUGAACCGUGAGGCUUAACCUUACAACGCCGAAG
rnacentral:rRNA from 1 species